GUCCCUGUUGCGUAAUGGAUAGCCCGUUGGACUACUAAUCCAAAGGUCGUAGGUUCGAAUCCUACCUGGGAGG
rnacentral:tRNA from 1 species